rnacentral:rRNA from 1 species
GGGUUGUGAGGUUAAGCGACUAAGCGUACACGGUGGAUGCCCUGGCAGUCAGAGGCGAUGAAGGACGUGCUAAUCUGCGAUAAGCGUCGGUGAGGUGAUAUGAACCGUUAUAACCGGCGAUUUCCGAAUGGGGAAACCCAGUGUGUUUCGACACACUAUCAUUAACUGAAUCCAUAGGUUAAUGAGGCGAACCGGGGGAACUGAAACAUCUAAGUACCCCGAGGAAAAGAAAUCAACCGAGAUUCCCCCAGUAGCGGCGAGCGAACGGGGAGGAGCCCAGAGCCUGAAUCAGUGUGUGUGUUAGUGGAAGCGUCUGGAAAGGCGCGCGAUACAGGGUGACAGCCCCGUACACAAAAAUGCACAUAUUGUGAGCUCGAUGAGUAGGGCGGGACACGUGGUAUCCUGUCUGAAUAUGGGGGGACCAUCCUCCAAGGCUAAAUACUCCUGACUGACCGAUAGUGAACCAGUACCGUG